CAAUACUUCUCUCUGUACAUGUGAUAUUACACAGGGCUCAGGGAACUUGUUCGCUGUUGGUAAGGAAGUGUCCCUUCCGGGGCUGUACCAGACUUUUAAUCCUUUUGGUAUAUCGUUUUUCUGUUGGCUGCUACUAUCUUGUUUCUUACACAGAUUCUUCGCUAUCCCAACGGUAGAUUGAGCCUUGCCAUUGGCUCGUGGUGACUUGGAGAAGAAAUGAUAUGUGAUACACAUGGGGUGGG